rnacentral:lncRNA from 1 species
AUGACAUCCUCGCGUCCCUCGUACGUCGUUCCUAAGAAUCCCUCUGAAGCGGGAAUGAGAUCACAAUAUACUUUGCCCACAAAUUCCUCUUGAACUUUCCUGAAUUUUGAUAUUGUAUACACUGCCUGAUAUUGCUUCUCCAUGUUGUAGUAUGUAGCAUAGUGUACCAUUUGUGAGUAAGACUUAAAAUCUGCUUAAAAUUCCUUCUCAACUUUACUUCUCAAAGCUCGUUCAUAUUGUUCAACGAAUUGCUUUAACGUUGUUUUUGAAUGUAUAUAACCGUCGAAGAAUGCAUUAAUACUUUCACUGCGUUGCAUGGUUGACAUCCCUUCCCAAAAUGUGGUUUUCAAAAAACAAAGAACCCAACGUUCUGUAUUGUCGUAUAGACCAGCCAACCACUCAUUAUCAUACAAAUUAUACUUUUCGAUCAUCUCUAUCCAACCUCUGUCAAAUUCUGCAACAAACUGACAAUCAUAUACCAACCCAUGUAUAGUAGCAAAUAUUGAACCCUUAUUCACGUGGUAUCCAAACUUUUCUGGCAACUUCUUCAAAAAAUGCCACAAA